rnacentral:lncRNA from 1 species
UAAAACUGUGGGGCCAAAAAAAAUUUUGAAUUUGGAACCUAGACAGUAAGCCUGAGUGAUGAGGUAUGAUUUUCUCUUUUCUCCCUAGAAUACAAGGGGAUAAAAGUUAGCUAAUCCAAGGUUCUGGAUUCCUCUGAACCAGUGGAACUCCCUUUCCUUCUGUCAUCAGCUCCAAGAUUGAUAAAACCAAUAAAGACGGCACUUAUUUGAAGAACAAAGGAGGCAUCUGGAGUGACUACAAUAAAGUGUUGCCUCGAGAGAAUAAUAAUGAGAGAGUUAUGAUUUUACACAUCUGCCCACAUCAGUGCCCACCUUGAAAACUGUCGCUACAUUAUCAAAAAUUUAAAGAUUAUGUGUGAGCCGUAGAAAGAGACAUUGAAUGAAAAUAAAGAAGAAAUGAGAAAAUUGAAAUGGGAAGAA